UUUUUUUCCGCGUUUCUGAAAACUAUAAAUAAAGGUAGCCGCUAAGUUUACAACUCACAAGCGUAACAUAGACUACUCCGUGUCACUGCUCUCCGGUGACGAUGGCCGAUCAAGAUCAAUUUUCCGAUCUUGAUAUUCUUCCAUCCGACAACAUGAGUUUAUUGGAAUUCAUGCAUGCUGUCGAUGGCCGAUCAAGAUCAAGAAUUCUCCACUGGAUUGCUGUCCCAGUGACGAUUCCGAUCAAAACCCUAAACCCCAAAUCUUGGAAUCCCCGAUGAUUCCGGUAGAAUUUCGAGAACUUAAUUACCCAGAUUAACUUUUAAUUGUCGUCUUUUUGAAGUUAAAUUGGAAUUCUUUAUUUUAGAAAAAUCAAGAACUUGUCUUUUUAACGCAUAUUUUAGGAUCUUCAAGAAAUCUUUUCUUAUAUUCUAGCCGUGUGUGUUAAGUUUGUUCAAGAAACUGUUUUUACUUUUUUAAGGGACAUUAAGCGAAUGCCUGAGGCUAUUUGGAGUUCAGUGCGUCUUCAACAGUUUUAUGCUGGUGCCACAAAGUUAUUGACGUGGAGUUGUUCUUGAACCCACUCGCACAACUCUAAUUAUAAGAAGUGAUUAGUAGUAUUUUGGAUCAAUUAGUUUAAUGAUAAGACAUACAGACUUCGUAAUCGCCCUCACUGACUAUCUUUCUUUACAUGGUCUAGACUUUUCGACUUUGAUUGUUUCUGAUUUUGUUAAUGUUUUCAUUUGAGAGUCAGUAAAAGUCUGCUAAGAACAUGAUAUAAUUAAGUGACUAACGGUGUCAAGUCGCGCCUUCAUGCAGUUUUAAUCAUUUAGACUGAUUGCAUCUGUGAAUUUGUCUGUGGCUUGCACAAAAGGCUGUGACGGGUGGGACUUUUGUGCGUAUUCUAAAUUAUUUUUUUCCGUGUGUAUUUACAAAUGUUUUCAUUUUGAAAGCUAUAAAUGACACUGCCUAUCUUCACACGCUACCUCUUCUGAUUACAAAUUAAGCUACUGGUGCAGUAUAUAACUUCAUGCGCUACUGACGCGCAUUGUAGAACUUCAUAUGCUAUUUUCCUUUACACGGUCUAAGACUGUUUGACUUUGAUUAUUUCUUAAAAAUGGAAAAGUGUGCCACCUAAGAAAUAGGGAAUUUUAUUUGGUUCAUCUUUUUUGAUUUUGUAAAUGUUUUGAGGAUUAGUAGAGGUGGGCUGCUGAGAACAUCACACACUUUCAAUUGUUUAGACUAAUUCCACCUGUGAAUUUGUGUGUUGCUUGCACAGAAGGCAUUGACCAGUGAGGCUCUUCAACGAAUUCUUAUGUUCCUCUGUUUGCUGCUUCCUUAUAGGGCUGUUCUUGUGUUUGUUGUUCUUAUAAGUAGUGUGCUCCUUGUUUGAACUUUAACCCAGUUUCCACUUUCCACUCUCCACCAGGUAUCUGUUGCUAUAGGCAUUGGGACCUGCUGUGUUAAGGUGGUAUCAGUUCCUUUCCCACCCCUCACUUGACCACCCUUUUCAUGAAUAACUCAUGCACUCCCUCUUUUGUUAAUUUUUGUACUCACUCUACUCGGUUUUAUACACAAUGAAGAUUAGAGGUUUUCAUAUGUCGAUGUUCAAUCAAACAUGUUGCUUGUCCAGCUAAAGAAUUGUUGGUUUGGCACGGCACUUCAUGUUUUGGUUCUAUGAGAUUUUUUGAGAUAUUUCAUGUUUUGGUCUUCCUUUUCUGUCUCAUAGGCAAACUGAUGCUUGCAGCCAUGCUGGGUUUCAAAGCUUUUGAGCAAAUCAUGCUUGGGCGUCGCAGAGUUCAAUUUUUUUGUUGGUAAAAUCACCCUUUUGUGAAACUACAGGAUCUUCUACUUUUCUUGUUCUUUUAUUACUCUCUCUUGUAUAACUCAAAAAAAGCAACUUAGCAUGUUCUCUUUGAGCUGAACAACUGUUGAUUGGCAUGGCAGCUCAGGUGGGUAUAUGAGAUUUAGGAGAAACUUACAUUUUAUGGUGCGUUUUCUGUCUCAUAAGGCUUAAUGAUGCUUGCAGCCAUGACAGACCGAUGUUUGCAGUCAUUCUGGGUGUCAAAGCUUUUGAGCUAAUCAUGUUUGGUUGUUGCAAGUUCAAUAUUUUUGUCGCUAAAUCAUCCUUUUUGUGAAACUUCACGACCAUCUUCUUUCUUGUUCUUAUUAAUCUCUCUUGUAUAACUCAAACAAGGCAAUUAAAAUCUCUCUUGAGCUGAAAUACUGUUGCUUGGCAUGGAACCUCAGGUUGGAAUAUGAGAUUUAGGAGAAAGUUCCAUUUCAUGGUGCAUCUUCUCUGUAUCAUGAUGCUUGUAGCCACGAACAGAUUCAAAAGUUUUUGAGUUGGUUCGUGUUUCGGCUUAAAAAUUCAGUUUCCUUCCCACCCUUCCCAAACCACCAUUUUCAUGAAAUUAAACAUGACCUUCCUUCUUUUUUUUUUUUUUAAUUACUCUCACUGCUCCGGUUAUUAAACCAUGAGGAUGUGGAGGUUUUGCCUUCUGGGGAGUUCAAUAUUUCUUGUUGCUCUCCAGGUGGGUCUAUCAAAUUGGAAUUAAAUUUCCAUCUCAUGGUGUUUCUUGUCCAUCUCACACGACUGAUUGAUGCUUGUAGCCACGACAGAUUUCAAUUCUUCUGAGCUCAUCGUGUUUUGGAUUUAUAGAGUUCAGUUUUGUUUCUUUCGCCAGACCACUAUUUUGGUGAAAUCACACACGACCUUCCAUUUUUCUUAUUUUUAGUGCUCUUUCCAAUUUAACUCAAAAGGGCAAUCAAACCUGUUCACUCUUGAGCUGAAAAACUGUUUUUUGGCAUGGCAUCUUAUGUGGGUCUCUGAGAUUUUUUAAGAAGUACCAUUUCUUGGUGUUUUUUCUCAGUCUCUCAAGGCUAACUAAUGCUUGCAGCCAUGACAUGUUUCUAAGCUUUUGGGCUGAUUCGUGUUUUGGGUUGAGUUUCUUACCCACCCCUCAGUUGAACCACCCUUUUUGUGAUAUUACACAUGCACUUUCUCUUUUCUUGUUCUUUAUACUCACUCUGCUCCGUUUAUACACAAUGAGGUUUUGGAGGUUUUUAUCCAUGGAUGUUCAAUUAAACAUGUCUCAUGUCAAACUAAAGAACUUUUGCUUGGCACGACACUUCAGGUGGGUCUAUGAGAUUUUGGGAAAUGUUCCACUUAUUGGUCUUUCUUCUCUGUCUCAUAGGAAAACUAGUGCUUGCUGCCAUGCCUGGGUUUCGAAGCUUUUGAGCUAAUCAUGUUUGGCAUUGCAAAGUUCAAUUGUUUUGUCACUAUAUCAUCCCUUUGGUGAAACUACAUGACCUUCUACUUUUUUUGUUCUUAUUACUCAUGUAAAAUUCAAAAAAAAAAAAAGCAGCAAUAUAACGAGUUCUUUCUUGAGCAGAAAAACUGUUGCUUGGCAUGGCAUCAUUGGUGGGUAUAUGAGAUUUAGGAGCAAGUUCCACUCAUAAGGCUUACUGAUGCUUGCAGCCAAGACAGAUUUCAAUGUUUUUGAGUUAAUUCGUUUUUUGGCUUGGCAAAGUUCAAUUUCCUUUCCCCCUUACCCAAAUCACCCUUUCCGUGGAAUUACACAUGAGCUUCUCUGUUUGUUAUUCUUAUAACUCUUUCUCCUCUGUUGAUAAACCAUGUUAAGAAACCAAGAGGAAGUGGAGGUUUUUUCUUUUGUGCAAUUUCAAUAGAACUUGUUUUCUCUCAAGGUGAUUAAACUGUUGCUUGGUAGUAGGUACGACACCUCAGGUGGGUCUAUGAGAUUUUGGAAUUAUAUUUCUAUUUCAUGGUGUUUAUUCUUCAUCUCACUUGACUAGACAAUGCUUGUAGCCACGACAGAUUUCAAUGUUUUUGUUCUAACUGUGUUUUGGCUUCGCAUGCUCAGUUUUUUUCUCUCACAAACCUCCCUUCUGGUUAUAUUACGCAUGACCUUCCAUUUAUUUUAGUACUCUCCCCGUAUAACUCAAAAUGGCAAUCAAUCAAACAUGUUCUCUCUUGAGCUGAAUAACUGUUGCUUGGCUUGGCAUCUCAUGUGGGUUUGCGUGAUUAUGGGGAAAGUUUCAUGUCAUUGUGUACUUUUCUCUGUCUCACAAGGUUAACUAAUGCUUGCAGCCCUGACAGGUUUCUAAGCUUUUGAGCUGAUUCAUGUUUCUUUCCCACCCAUCACCUAACCAUUGUAUUCAAUCAAACAUGUUGUUUGUCGAGCUAAAGAACUGUCGCUUGGCACAACACUUCCAGUGGAUCUGUGAGAUUUUCGUAUAAAUUUCAUUUUUUGUUCUUUCUUCUGUGCCUCAUAGACAAACUGAUGCUAGCAGCAAUUUUUGGUUUCAAAGCUUUUGAGCUAAUCGCGUUUGGACGUCUUUAAAGUUCAAUCUUUUUGUCGGCAAAUUAACCUUUUUGUGUAAUUGCACGACCUUCUACUUUUCUUGUUCUUAUUAGUCUCUCUUGUAUAACAUGUUCUCUCUGAGCUAAAAUUUGAUGUUUGGCAUGACACCUUAGGUGGGUAUAUGAGAUUUAGGAAAAGUUUCAUUUCAUGGUGCAUCUUCUCUGACUCAUAAAGCUAACUGUUGCUUGCAACCAUGAAAGAUUUCAAAGAUUUUCAGUUGAUUCGUGUUUUGGCUUGGCAAAGUUCAGUUUCCUUUCACCCCUCCCCAAACCAUCCUUUUUGUGAAAUUGCACAUGACUUUCCUCUUUUCUUAUUCUUAUUAUUCUUUCUGCUCAGUUUGUAUAUCACGAGGAUGUGGAGGUUUUGUCUUCCCUGGAAGUUCAGUUAAACUUGUUUUCUCUCGAGCUGAUGAAACUGUUGCUUGUCACGACACCUCAGGUGGGUCUAUGAGAUUUUGGAAUUAAAUUUCCAUUUCAUGGUGUUAUUUCUCCAUCUCAUACUGUUAACUUAUUUGUUUAUGAUUUUUGGACUACCAGGAAAAGGUAAAAGAAUAUGUAGGUCCCUUGAAGAUGAAAGAGAAUAUUUGAAGUUUAUGCCUUUUCACAUUUCAUAUUGUUUCUUACUUCAUUUUUUUCCUUUUAAUCGUGGAUCCUUAUUUUUGUUCUCAAUGAACUCAAAAAUGCUCUUUGCAUGCAAUACAAGCAAUCAACUUGAAUAAUGUAAGCUUUUAGCUCAAUGCUGUUGACCUUUUAGCUAAGUGCUGUCUUUAUUGAGUUAUAAAGUUUUGGAAGUCAUUUAGGUUCUGGACUGUGAUUUUCUUGAGCCUAAGGUCUUUAUCUUGGUGAGGCAACCCGGUAAGGCAUCUCCGUUGGGAAACCGAGGUCUGCUGCCAUUGGGGGUGCUUUGUCUCCUUUUUGCCUGGUUUAAUCUGAGCCUUAGAAAGAAUCGGCCGAAUGACGCUUGAAGUCUUGUGAAUUCCCUUUUGUUAGGUUAGCCUAAAAAGGCAAGAAUGAGGCAGCAGAGAGCAUGGUAUUUCUAUCAAGAUUGGUUGCCCCUCUCUCUCUAUGCUUCGCCUAUGAUUCUCCAUUUUUUGAAACAGACCAAUAGCCCUUAAAAGAGAGACAGAGAGAGUGCACUUGAGUUUCUGGGUUUCUUUGCAUUUUGGCACCCUUGGACGUAUGCUCAUAUGGGCCAUACACAACUAUACUACAACAAGAUGACUAUUUAAAUUAUUAAAGAGGCAGUGAAGAUUUCUCGGUUAACGGGCAGUGAGAUUAUCCAACCCCGUAUCUUGGCGCGGCAACCCGGUAUGGCCUGUAAUUGAGACGCAUAACUCACACAUGCAAUCAUGUAUGGUUGGUUUCUAUUUAGCCUUAUCAAUUAUCGUAACACAAAAUCUGAGCCUCAAUUUGCUAAAGAAAAAAAAAAGGGAAAGGGUCAAAUUUACACCUUUACUAUGCAUAAGUUGCAAUAUCUUUUCCAUGAUUAAUGUGGGAGAUAUUGAACCCACACCCUUCUGAUUUGCCGUUUUAAUGCUUUUCAUUCGUAGUGUAUCUCCAUAUUUUGUUCUUGAAGGCCCCACUAGCACAAUGGCAAAAAAAAUUAAGUAGUUUAAUUGUAAGAAAAGUUGUGAUUUGUAGUACUUUGGAUGUAGACCUCAAUUGGACAUACUUUCGUCAACGCACUCGGUGGUCAUUUUCCUUUACAUGGUCUUGAUUUUUUUAUUGUUUCUUAAAAGUUGAAAUUGUGACUUGUAAGAGAAAGGUGAAUUGGGACCUGCUGUGGACUGUGGUAAGGUGGAUGACAAUGGAUCAUCUGAUGUUAACUUUCUUUUGGAGGAUCAUCAAAUGUUGUACCUUCUUUUGAAGGAUCAUCUGAUGUUAACUUUCUUUUGGAGGAUCAUCAAAUGUUGUACCUUCUUUUGAAGAAUCAUUUGAAGUUGUACCUUCUUUUGAAGGAUCACCUGGAGUUGUACUUUCUUGUUGGACAACUUCUUGAGUCCCCUACAAAGGAUCGGGGUAAGGUCUAUCUACCAAUGCUAGCUUUUAAUUAUAGGAUAAGGCUGUGAUGAUGACAGAUGAGGUUGUAUAGACCUUCUGCUUUUCUUAUUCUUAUUACUCUCUCUGCUCCGUUUAUAGACUAUGAGGACGUGGAAGUUUUGCAUUCUGUGGAAGUUCAAUAAAACUUGUUUUCUCUCGAGCUAAUCGAAUCGUUGCUUGGCACUGCACCUCAGAUGAACUACGAGAUUUUAGAAAUAAAUUUCUAUUUCAUGGUGUUCCUUCACCAGCUCAUUUGGCUAACUAAUGCUUGAAGCCUUGACGGAUUUCAAUGCUUUUGAGCUUAUUGUUUCAUAAAGUUCAUUUUUUUCCCUCAUUAAACCACCCUUAUGGUCAAAAUACACAUCACCUUCCAUUUUUAUCUUUUUAGUACCCUCUCCGGUAUAACUAAAACUGGCAAUUAAACAUGUUCUGGCUUGAGCUGAAAAACUAUUUCUUGGCAUGGCAUCUCAUGUGGGUCUGUGAGAUUUUGGAGAAAGUUCUGUUUCAUGGUAUUUUUUCUCUGUCCCACAAGGUUUACUAAUGCUUGCAGCCAUGACAGGUUUAUAAGCUUUAAGGGUAACUUAUGCGGCCAAUACUUGGGUCGGGCAUUGGAGCUACCCUUAUCUUGGCGAGGCAACUCUAUAAGGCAUCUCCAUUUUGCAACUGAGUUCUGCAGCCAUUGCGGUUGCUUUGUCUUCUUUUGGCUAGUUUCAUAACGAAUUUGAGCCUUAGGAUAAAGAAUUGGCCUAGUGACGCUUGAAGUCUUGUGAAUUUCCUCUGUUAGAUUAGCCUAUAAAGGCAAGAAUGAGGCAGCAGAGACUAUGGUAUUUCUGUCAAGGUCCUGUCUUGAAAAAUCAGCACAAGAACCUGUCUUGAUUCUGAGCAAGGAUUGGUAUCUUCAUUUUGAUAGUAGUUCAUGCGUGAAAUUGAUUAGCAAUUACUACUCAACUAUGCUGAUCAAAUUCUAAAUUAGGGUUGGGGGAUCUGCAAUAAUCAUUCUCAAGCUUCAAGAUCAUUUACCCGGUAAGCUACGAUCUUUGUUUAGAUUUUCAUUUCACAAACCAGUCUAUGGAACUUGCCAUUUACCAGAAAUUCCAUUGCACUAAAUUUUUCAAUUUUCAUUAAAGUUAAGCCUUACUUCGAGCAUAAAGUUAUAUGUUUUGGUUAAAGAAGGAACUUAAAUCUGAUCCAGUGGCAGCCAACAUCUGUCACACUUUUUCCGGUAACAUUCUCUGCUGUCAUAGUAUACAUUCAAAAAGUUAAGUACAUGUAAACCAUUUGCAGAUCAGUCUUUGAAGGGAAAGGUAUAUAAGUACUGAUUGUAGUUGUUAAUGUAGGAUUAGUUGCUCACCUACAUUCUUGAACCUUUUACUACACUUUAUAGCUUGUUCUCUUCAACCUUCAUAUUUUUCCUUCUGAAGGAUCUAUGCCUGUCUAAAUGUGGAAAACAAAGCAAGACAAUCACUUCUUCUCAGGCUAGUUAUUCCUUUCUGAGGUGAUAAUAACAGUUUAUAUCAGUUCUGUGCUCCAUCAUGUUGAAAGCCAGAAGGGUUUAGGGCUUUCAAGUGUCAUUUGUGUGCAUUUUCUCAUAAAGUCCAUUGUAUGUUAAUUAGGUUGAUUAUUGCAGUAACUUAUAAGGGAAGAGCUUUUUUGUUCCAGUACCAUCAUUAACAAGAAAAGGGUUGUUUUUUUGGUAAUACAGGUUCUCUGUAUUUUGUGCGUUAGUCUUACUGUUGUGGAUCUGUGGAUCUGUUAGAAUUUAUUCAACAUGUUAGUCCAUCGACACUAACUAGCUCUCAUAUUUUAAUCCUUCAUCUAACUCCAAUCUUUCUCAUGGAAUAUUUGCUCAAGUUCUUGUUUAAAUGCCGUGUCAAGUACUCUGAAGAAUUUAUUUGCAACCCACAGCUUGCUGAUACAGAUGGAUCAUCAAUAGUACUCCCAUCAGUGAAUAUACAAGGCUUGCGGUGCAAGUUAUUUUUUAAUUUGUGAAUUUGGAGCUAUCAUGAUGCUCUCUCGCUUCCACCCAGUGCCAUAUAUGAAAAAUAGAGAACUGGGAAUUAUAAUCUGAAGCUAUUUAAGAUAUUUUUCUUUAUUCUUGUUGCCUUCGUUUUCAUUUUGUAAUGGAACAAUAACUCUGAUAUGGACAAAGUGGAACAGAUACAGAGGAAUGAGAUUUAGGAGAAAGUUCCAUUUCGUUGUCUGCAUCUUCUCUGUCUCAUAAAGCUAACUAAUGCUUGCAGCCAUGACAGAUCUCAAAGCUUUUGAGUUCUUCGUGUUUUGGCUUGGCAAAGACCAAUAUCCUUACCCCCUUCCCCAGACCACCCUUUUCGUGAAAUUACAUGAUUUUCCACUUUUUUUAUUCUUUUAUUACUCUUUCUGCUUAGUUUAUGAAUAAUGGGGAUAUGGAAGUUCAAUACUACUUGUUUUCUCUCGAACUGAUUGAAUCACUGAUCGAAGAGCGAGCAGCAGCCAUGUUUAGUGAAAUUACAUAUCACCUUCCAUUUUUCUUAUUUUUAGUACUAUCUCUGGUAUAACUCAAAAUGGCAAAUCAAACAUGUUCUCUAUUGAGCUGUAAAAUUGUUGUUUGGCAUGACAUCUCAUGUGGAUUUCUGAGAUUUUGGAGAAAGUUCCAUUCCCUGGUGUUUUUAUCUUUGUCUCACAUGGCUAACUAAUGCUUGCAGUCCUGAUAGGUUUCUAAGCUUUAGAGCUGAUUUGUGUAUUAUGUUGAUUUUCUUUCUCACCCCUCACCGAACCACCCUUCGUGAUAUUGCACAUGCACUCUCUCUUUUCUUAUUCCUAGUGUUGACUUUUCUCUUUUCUUGGUAAUCACAAAUACAAAUUUUAAGGAAAUCAAGAAUUCUUGCAUGAAUGCUUGAUAAAAGAAAUUCAAGAACUUUUUGGCGAAAUAUAAGGAAAUCAAAGAAAUCGUAGUUUUCAAGAAUACAUUGGCAUUGCACAUCAUAAAGGAAAUUCAAGAAAUCUUUUUUUUAAAAAUAAAUUAUGUUGUUAUUCUUGUAAUGAGUGUUAAGGAUGUCCAAGAAUUUGUUUUUACCUUUUUAGUGAGAUUGAGAGCAUUAAGCGAAUGCCUCAGGCUAUUUGGAGCUUAACCCAGUUUCCAACAGGUAUGUAUUACUUGUGCAGUAAGUUUUGUUCAAUUUAAUAUAUAUUACUUCACAUAUGAAGUUGUACUUUGUUUUGAAGGAUCAUCUCAAGUUGUACUGUCUUUUGAAGAAUCAUCUGAUGCUUACUUUCUUUUGAUGGAUCAUCUGAUGAUGAAUUUUUUUUGAAGGAUCAUCUGAAGUUGUACUUUCUUGUCGGGCAACUUCUCGAGUCCCCACAAAGGACAAGGGUAAGGAUCCACCAAUGUUAGCUUUUAAUUAUAGAAUAAGGCUGUGAUGAUGACAAAUGAAGUUGUAUAAGGUUGGAUCUGGAAAUGGAGCUACCCUUAUCUUGGGGAGGCAACCCAUUAAGGCAUCUCCGUUUUGCAACCGAGGUCUGCAGCUAUUGCUGUUGUUUUGUCUCCUUUUGCCUGGUUUUAUAACAAAUUUGAGCCUUCGGAGAAAGAAUUGGCUGAAAGACACUUGAAGUCUUGUGAAUUCCCUUUUGUUAGGUUAGCCUAAAAAGGCAAGAAUGAUGCAGCAGAGCGCAUGAGAUUCUAUCAAGGGUGUUUUCCUUCUCCCUAAACUUUUCCUAUGAUUUUACAUUUUUUAAUACAAAUGGACAGCCCUUAAAAAAGAAAGAGAUACAGAGAAUACACUUGAGUUUCUGUGUUUCAUUGCAUUUUUGCAUUCUUAGACGUAUGCUCAUAAGGCAAUACACACAACUAUACUACAACAGCUUGACUAUGAAAAUUAUUAAAGAGGCAGUGAUGAUUUUUGGGCAAACUAAAUUUGGGCAUUGAGAUUACUCAACCCGUAUCAUUGCGGGGAAACCUGCUAUGGCCUGUAAUCGAGACAUAAAUCACACAUGCAAUCAUGUAUUGCUGCCAUGGCGUGGUAUGCUUCUCUUUGGCCUUGCCAUAACACAAAUCUGAGCCUCAAUUUGCUAAAGAGAAGGGAAAAGGGUCAAAUUUACCUUUUUAUAUGCACAAGGGGAAAUAUUAUUUCCAUGAUUAAUGUGGGAGAUAUUGAACCCAGACACGUCCUUCUGAUUUGCAAUUUUGAUGCUUUUCAUUCGUGAUGUGUCUCCAUCUUUUGAUAAGUACCAGCUCAAGAAUGAGGCAUUUGAACGAAAUGUUGGAUUAUUGAGGGGUGGUUGCCUCCCUCCCUGAUUCUAUUUUUGAAGUUUUGCAUUUUUAUGCAUCUUUUAUUGCUUCAACUUUUAUAUUCCUCCCACUGAUGGAUAUAUGUCUGCCUAAAUGUGGAAAAAAACAUGACAACACUUCUUCUCAGGCUGGUUAUUCCAUUUUAAGGUAUCAAUAACACUGGUUAUAUCAGUUCUCUGUUCCAUCUUGUUGAUGAAACCAAGAAGGAUUUUUGAGGGUUUAACCCUUUGAAGUGUCAUUGUUGUCUAAUGUCUCUUAAGGUCCAAUUUAUGUUUUAUUUGGGUUGAUUAUAGACAGUGAAUUGUGAAUUGUACUUAUAAGGGAAGAGCUUUUUUGUUGUGAAUUAUGAAUUGUAACUUAUAAGGGAAGAGCUUUUUUGUUCAAACAUUCAAAUGAGAGGCUCUGAUAUCUAUUUUUGAUGUUUCUUUGUUGGAAAUUGCUACUAAUACUCAUUGGAGGCCAAACGGACAUUGUAAGAUUUUGAAGGUUAUAAAGUUCUUUGAGUUUUAGUUUUGGUAGUAUUCAUUAAGAUAGCUUUCAAACAACAAACCUAGUCUUUGUUCUUGCCAUUGUUUACAGGACGGCAAGUGUUUGUACCUUGGAAUUUGAUGAUUGUACAAAAUAUGUUGGCACACCAGGUAAUUCUGUAUAAGCAUACCUGAUACGUUGCAGGUUUUGUCUUCUGAGGAAGUUCAAUAAUUCUUGUUUUCUUUGGAGCUAAUCAAAUGAUGCUUGACACCACUCGUUCGGUGGGUCUAUGAGAGUUUGGAAUUAAAUUUUUAUUUCAUGGUGUUUCUUCUCCAUCUAGCACGGCUAAUUGAUGCUUGUAGCCACGACAAAUUUCAAUGUUUCUGAGCUCAUUGUGAUUUGGCUUUGCACAGCUCAACUUUUUUCACUCGCCUAACCACCUUUUUGAUGAAAUUGCACGACCUUCCAUUUUCCAUAUUUUUAGUAAUCUUUUCGGUAUAACUCAAAAGGACAAUCAAACCUGUUCUCUCUUGAGCUGAAUAGACGUCGCUUCGCAUGUCAUUUCAUGUGGGUACGUGAUAUUUUUGAAGAAGUACCAUUCAUUGGUGUUUUUUCUUUCUCUCGAAGCUAACUAAUGCUUGCAGCCAUGACAUGUUUCUAAGCUUUUGAGCUGAUUCGUGUUUUGAGGUGAGUUUCUUUCCCAUCUCUCACCGAACCACAUUUUUCUUGCUAUUAUUCCUUACUCUACUCUGUUCAAUACACAAUGAGGAUUUGGAGGUUUUCAUCUAUUGAUGUUCAAUCAAACAUGUCUCGUGUCGAACUAAGGAACUGUUGCUUGGCACGGCACUUCAGGCGGGUCUAUGAGAUUUUGGGAAAUGUUCCUUUUUGUUGGUCUUUCUUCUCUGUCUCAUAGGCGCACUGGUGCUUGCAGCCAAGCUGGGUUUCGAAGCAUUUGAGCUAAUGAUGUUUAGGCGUCGCAAAAUUCAAUUUAUUGUCUGUAGAUCACCCUUUUUGAGAAAUUACACGACCUACUUUUCUUGUUCAUAUAUUACUCUCUCUUGUGUAACUCCAAAAAGCAAUUCAGCAUGUUCUCUUUUGAGCUGUAAAUCUGUUGAUUGGUGUCAGCUCAGGGGGGAGAUCAGAUUUAAGAGAAGGUUCCAGUUCAUGGUGCAUCUUCUCUGUCUCGUGAGACUGUCUGACCACCUCAACAGAGUCCUUCACUGGUCGGCUCUUAAGAUGCCCAAUUAUAGCCUUCUUUUUAGAAAAAGAUUUAGAACUUGGUAUCAGGUAAGAAACCUAAACACAUUUUUCCCUUUUCUUAUCUGCUUGAAAAUUCUUGCAAGCCUUUUUUAGAAAAAUCAAGAACUUUGCUUUUUGAAGUUACGUUGGUAUUCAAAAAUACAUAUAUUUUCAGAAAAUCAAGAAUUUUUGCAUGAAUGCUUUUUGAAAAAGUUCUUGAACUUGUUGGCAUAUUUUAAGGAAAUUGUAGUUUUCAAGAAUAUAUUGGCAUUGCACAUACAAGAAAUCUUUUUUGAAAAUAUUAUGUUGUUAUUCUUGCAAUGUGUGUUAAGGGUCAAGAUUUUGUUUUUACCUUUUUAGUGAGAUUGGUAGCAUUACGUUGCUAUUGGCAUUGGUACCUGCUAUGGUAUGGUGGAUGGCAAUGUUAAGUAUUAGUUUUUUCGACAUUGAUCUAAUUCACUUUGAUGUGCAGUAAGUUCUGUUCAAUAUAUUAUAUAUUAUCAUCUGCUAUAUUUUCUUUCAUGGUCUCCUUUUUCUUUGUACCUGAAUUUGUUGUACUUGUGUCAAGGGUCUUUCGAAAACAAUCUCUUUUCCUACACGAGGUAAUUUCUGUGUACAUUCUCCCUCCUAAAGCCCACUUGUGGAAUUUCAUGGGGUAUGUUGUUGUUGUUGUUAGUAUGAUGCUCCAUUCUAAUCAUAAUUUUUUUUCUUAAUGAAUGUUUCUGUAUCACACCUCUCUCUGUUUUUUUUUUCAUUAGAUUUAGAGCUUGUUUGGAUUGGCUUAUUCUAGGUGCUUUUAAGCCUAAAUAGCUUUUAAUCCAACAUAGCGAGGAGCUUUGAUAAUUCUUCUGACAUUGAGAAGUGAAGUAGAUCUCAGAUAACCUAAAAUGCCUAAGAUCUUUAUAUGAAUUGACUUUGGAGCCUUCCAAGACCUCUGAGGGAUUUAAGAAUAGAGCCCUAAUAUGGUAGAGACAAGUAUUAGAGAAGCACGGGUCCUCAAUCCUGCCAUAUGGAAUAUGAAUGUUGAAGAGAAUAAGCUUAUGGUGACUAGUUGAUUCUUAAUGUUACUUGUAAGAUUGGGGCCCCAUCCUUAUCUUAAUGAGGAUACUAUCGUGAAUAUCUGGACUGGAAGUAACUCUCGGUGAGAGCAAUUGUACCUGACAUUCUUAUGCAACAUCACUUUGAUGUACUGUAUUUGAUGUUAUUUGUACAUGAGUCUUUAAUCACUCAACAUUCCCUUCCCUGUAUGUUGUAGUCCCCGCCUGCCUCCCUAAAAGUAGGAGGGGGAACAAAUUGUGGAAGGUUGGUUAGUGGAAGAGAGCUGAGAGUUACUUAUGCAUCAGAUGUUGCAAAGCAUUUCAGUGUUAUGCCAUCGUAUAGUUUUAUCACUUUCUUUUCUCUUUAGUUACUUUUGGAAAACCUAGAUAAGAAUGUAGUUGUUGAACUAUCCUCCUCAUCUAUUGCUAUCCCAUUUCGUUCUCCUCUUUUCAGAUAUACCUGUGAAUUAUGAGAUCAGGAAAAAGAGUUGCAGGCCCAGAGUUGCAAAGCGAAACUGAACUUUCUUCCCCGUAGACAAAGAAACCGACUGGAUAGUGCGCUGUCAGGAGAGAGAUUUGAUCUUCACAGAAUAUUAUGUGGGGAAGUGCUUCUGAAAAGCAUGAUCCCGAGUCCAAAUUCCCCUUGUCAGAUCAAAAGUUCAAGUCGGUCAAUCGAUGGCUCUCUUGCUCAUUGCAGAGUCUCUGUGAAUUGGAUAUCCAGAAGCUUUGUGCGACCCCUUUCAUCUAUACAGAGGAUGAUUUCCUGGAUAAGAAAUUCAUUGCUUCAGAUAGAUCCAAACAGUUAUAGCUUGCAGAUCAAGCUUCAUUUAUGCGAUCAGGGAGAGGUUGCUGCAUUAGAGAAGGAAACCAUUUAUGCAAUGCCCUAUGCACAGAAGUCUGACCCCUGAUGGAUCAUCCUUUGAUAGUGAUGAAGAUAUUAAGUUUGAAAAAUGUCUCCUGAAUUAUCAGAAACUUCUCCAACUCAGAUCAAGAGAGAGAGAGAAGGCAGGUUUGGUUGAUUUGCAUCAUAAUUUCAGAUUCCUGCUGCUCUGUUUGGUAGGAUCAGCUUGUUCAGGUUUAAUACAUGGAUAUAGAAGCCAACCAACUGAAGAAAAUUAAACGUUAUGGUAUGGAGUACCAGAGGGGCUUUGCAGCUUUGUGGCGUUCUUUGAGGGAUUCAGGGAUGCACAAUUUCAUUUCUAGUAUAUUCAUCUGUUCAUUCCAAUUGCCUAUAACUCUUGUAAAUAUGCUUACAAAUUUAAAUUCUGUAGUUCCUUGACUUCAAAUAUGUUCUCUUUGAAGCAUUAUUUGAGAUCAAUAAUCUCAUUUGUUGAGUUUAUCUUUAUUUCUUCUUCAGAUUGUAACUGUACCCGAAGAGCACGGAAACAUCCACGUGGCAAUACUAUUUAGGUAUACUGAAUCUAUUUAGUGCCUAUUUUAAUCUGCAUUAUCUUUUUAAAAAUUGCAGGCUAACAAUUUUGUGGGAAAAACACUUAACACUUGCUAUGUUGAUGGUAAUAUAGUUUAGUGCUUUUUAAGUCAAUUGGAUUAAUUUGGGAGUGGAAACAAAUCUCUACGAGGAUAGAAUGUUUGACCAAGGGAAAUCAGAUGUUAGGCACUGGCCUAUUCAACAACAGGAAACAGAAUGUCUUCAGCUAGACUACACUUAUGUUGGGAGGGGGGAGAUCAAGUGAUGAUCUCACUGCAUAUGGACUCAUAUCUGAAUUUUUGAGGUGUUUUCCAGUUUUAGUGAGUUUAUCUUCACUGAUGAGUAUCAUCUUGUUCAGGUUUGUCUACUGUUUUUGCCUUUGCGAUGUAGUUUCUAGUUCACGUUUUGAUGAUUUAAUCGGCUUUUUUGGAACUCCAAAUGUGCUUAGGAGGUUGAUUACCAACUUUAAAAUAGUCAUAUUAUGAUGAAUCCUCAUAUUAUUUGUCCCAACCAGAGUGAAAUACACCUGACUUUUAAAUGUGGUUUUGAACGAUCGAUUGGAUGGAGAACUUUCGGAGUUCCUUUGUUUUGCUUUUAGGUGCUAUCGUGGAAUCUUAGCUGACAUUAAGAAGGGAAGUAAACUCACUAUAUUCUGUUAAAGGUAUCCUCUUCCAAUAUUUGCCUUUUCUAUAUUUCUUUGAUCCUUUUUUCCUUGUUGACAUCAGUAAAAUCAUCUUUACCCCUCUAGAUUUGGAGCUUGAGGUGCUGCUGCAACGUGCUAUCAAUUACAUUAUCAAACUUCUUCAAAAAAAUCUCCAUAUUUGCAAAUUCUUUGCACUUAUAGUUUAAAUCGGAAGUACUCUUGAACUUGUAGCUUAUUUUUCAAAUAUCUCAUUCAAGUACCUUGACCCAGUAAAAUUCUACAAUGCUACACUAGUACGUUUAUACAUGGAUAGAGAAGCCAACAAAAUUAUGAAGUUGAGGCUGUGUGUUUGAAAAAUGUCAUUAGUCAUUACGCCUGUUGUGAAAAGUCUUUUGAGGUUCAACGUGCAUGCAUUUGAGAAUUAUUUGUUUAUGAAUUUUCAACUACCAGGAGAAGGAAAAAAAAUAUGCUGCUUGAAGAUGAAAGAAAAUAUUUGAAGUUGAUGUCCUCUUUUGUUUUUUCACAUUUCAUAUUGUUUUUUUACUUCAUUUUUUUCCUUUUAAUUGUGGAUCCUUGUUUUUGCUCUCACAGAACCCAAAAAUGCUCUUUGCAAGAAAUACAAGCAAUCAACUUGAAUAAUGUAAUCUUUUAGCUUAGUGCUGUUUAGCUCUAACGUACGAUAUUUCAUUCCUCUGCAAAAGGAAGUUUAUGUCUUUAUCCCCAACACAUUCACAGGGAAAAAGGGAAAGAGAAGAAGUAGAACCUCUCUUGAUAAAAGAAAAUGAUACUCCAUUCCGAUGCACUGUAUCAAAAUCAGUCAAUUUACUGCAAACAAUUUGUUCUGAUGUUACAGGUCAACUUACAGUUUACCGAGAAUGCACUUCUAGUUAUUGUUGAGGAAGGCAUUGCCAAAAGCACUGGUGCACAAGGCUCAAGAUGUAUACUAGAAAUUAUUGUGACUGAAGCCAUGUUUGAGGCUGCUGACUUAAAUGUCGAAGCAACUCAGCAAGGGGUUGUCUACAUAGAUGAAGUUGAUGAAUAGCCAAAAAGUUCAAAAAUUAUUAUCUACAUGGAUAUGGAUAAUCGCCUUCGAAGUCAUCCUUAUAAUUAGUCACCUGUUUAGGCUGAGAGCCUUAACAUUUGCAGAGAUGUAUCUCAGGAGGAUGUCCAACAGGCGCUGCUGAAGAUGUUUGAAGGAACUAUUGUAAGUGUACCUGACAAUAGAGCAUGGAAGCUUCCACGUGGCGAUACUACUCAGAUAGCUAAAGCUAUCAUUUUUACAUGUGCUGGAGCUUUUUUUGGUUUAGAGAAGACAAUUCAGAAAGGUUAUUUGUCAAACUCAACUAAUUUCAUGAAACACUUUGAGAUCAAGUGAUUCAAUAUGGUUCAACUUAUCAUUCCUUUACUCCGAGACGGCAAAAUCCUUUAAUUGGAUUCUGAGCACCUGUUCGAACUAACAUGUGAGUUGGUGGUCUAACUGAUGUUGUAGUUACUUCAUCACUAUUGGAAUCUUUGAGGAAAUCCUUGUAACUUGAGCUUACUUUUCUUUUCCGGAUCACUAUAAUUUAAUGAUUUCAUGACUCUUUGUUCUCGUGAAAUUCUAAAAACCAAA